UAUUUUAUUUUGUGGGAUUGAAAGAUCAGAAGCCGGAAAUUAGCUGGGGAGGAUAAAGAAAAGGAAAAAUUAAAGGGGUGGGGGGCUAUUUCUGUUCUUUAUGUGGGCAAUGGUUAAACAAGGAGAACAUCUGGUCCUGAAGUGGGUCUCUGCAGUGCUGCUUUUAAUUACCCCGUCAUUUGGGCUCAUGCUAAAUUAGUGACUGUGGGAGCAACUCAGAUCUCCCAACUGACAGGCCUGGAGAGCUUGACUUAGCCUGCCACACAGUCAGAGGGGAAACACGGAGCUUCCGGUUUCAUAUUUAAACCAGGGUUUGACUCAUAAUUGUAGCUGUCAGGAGCGUGAUGGAGACAUUAUGUAAUCUGGUUCUUAUGGUGAUGUGUGUUUAAGGUUUCUGCUCUGUAAAUUCCAGAGGAAAUUCUGUGCCUGUUGAGGGAGAGCUCGCUGGCUGCUCUGUGGUGUGCCCUGCAGGAUAAUGACAGUGCUAUUAAAGGUUCCCAAUUCUGCUUGAGUCGAAACAUGAAUGAAUUUCCUCUUGAAAGGACCUCCUGUUUUUCCAUAGACUUGUAAAUGUGGAUGAGGUUAGGCAAAAUCUGGUAAACUGAAAAGAGGCAGUAUGUUGGCUCAGUAGAGAAAUGUAAUUAUGACAAGCCAUUCAGGUCCACACAUAUUUUUUUUCUGGACCACAUAGUUCCCCUUACUAGUUCCCAUUAUUCCCAGCCUCAGAGAUUCUAGAAGUGGACACCAGUUGCUCCUGGAAACAAAGUGCUGGAGCUGUGGGUCAUUUGUUCCAUUUUCCUUCUGCUUGUUCCUCGCCUCACAGAGGCCUCUGGGGACUGGUAUAAAUUUGCAAGGCAGCCAGGGAAAACUUGAGACAGAACCAGUGUUUGCAGCCUUGAAAAAAAAAAAUAGAUGAGGCUGUUUAAUUUUAACCGUAAAGGAAUGUGUUUUUCCGCAGUUUUGCUAGAAGUAGAAUUGUGUUCUCAUUUGAUUAUUCUUUGAAUCCAGUAAGUAUGAUCCACAGGAUAAGAAGGAUUCAUUGAUAAAAAAUAGUAUUCAUAUUAGGAGAAUAAUAGUAAAGACUAAAUUAAAAACUUAAAGGUGGACUGGGGUGGGUUUGUUUGUUCGUGGGGAGUAGUAUUCAGGCACAGAGAAGACCCAAAUCCUCCAACAUUCCUGCUUGCUGGUCUGUCUGGUCCAGAGAUCCCAUCUCUAUUUCUACACCUUUCCCUCCUUUCUUUGGGCACUCUCCAGUCCUCCAGUCUUUGGGGUUCUAGUUCUGCCUUUUCACCCCCAACAAAGAAGAUAAUGGUAUUUAUAAAGUGGUUGUAGCCCAAAGUAAUACCUAAAUGUUUGAAAAUUUUUAAUUAAAUAAAUGCUGGAUGUCAUCAUCUAUGUACACUUGACCCUUGAAGAAUUUGGUGCUUAGUAGUGCCAACCCCCCAGACCCCAUGCAGCUGAAAAUCUGCAUAUAACUUUUGGCUCAAAAACUUAACUUACUAAUAGCCUACAGUUGACCAGAAGCCUUAUUUAUAGCAUAAGCAGUCAAUUAACACAUAUUUUGUGUUUGUAUUAUAUACUGUAUUCUCACAAUGAAAUAAGUUAGAAAAAAGAAAAUGUUUUUUCAAAUUGUUCAUAUCUCCAAAAAAUUUUACAGUAUAAUUAUAGAAAAAAUCCUCAUACAAGUGGACCUGUGCAGUGCAAAACUGUGCUGUUCAAGGGUCAACCGUAUAUUGUACCUGAUUGGAGAAUGGUGGUCUGUAUUACAAUCUCUAUUUUUUUCUAGAAAAAUGAGUCAUUGUGAUAAUUGGAUAUUUGUCUAUUGGUCUUUGCAAGGUGGUGUUGGGAGUAAUUUUCACUUUUCAGGAAGAAAGUUGAGUUACUUUAAUUAAAAACAAUAUAAUAAUAUUAAAUAAUAUUGCAUUAAGUUAAUAUAAUAAAAAUAAUAUACCUAAUAGACUUGUAUAUUUGUAUAUAGAAAUGCAUAUUUAAAGGAACAAUUACAAAUUUCCCCUAUUCUUUCAUAGUCUCAGGCUGUGAUCUUUAUUAGGAAACAGGGCCAGUAUAAUGGCUUGAUUUCUUUUCUCCCAUGAGGAUUAAGUUUCAUAUGAGUGUAAUUCAGCCACUCUAACUUGGGACAUUAUCAUAGGACUUCUGGAUGAUGCACGGAUGGCUAAUUUCAUGAGCUGUCUAGGCCAAGUUUAUUUAUUUUCCUGGUCAUUGAAAUGAAAAGACUUGAUGUGACUCCUGUUGAAAUACUUUCAGAGGCAACCAUCCUUGUAAUGGAUUCUCUCCAUCAGAAAAUUAGUUAAGUAAUUACCUUCAUUGAGGUAUAAAGAAAUAGAGAUACAGAUAAAGAAAUUGAGACACAGAAAACUUGGGAAAUUUGCUUAAAUUCACACAGUGAAUAAGGAGCUGAGCCGUGAUUGCAAGCCAGGUUGUUUGAAUCUAGAGCUCCAGAUACUGUUCCAGAAGCAUUGAAUGUUUCUAUAUGGCCGAGAGGGGCAAGCAAUUCAGAGAGGGCUCCUGAGCUGGUCAUCCUUAUUGAAAUGAAAAAGCAGGCCACCUUACACCUUGAUUAAGCACACUGUAGAGAAAAUGGAGUCACUAUUGCCAGGACACCCGCCUGGAUGCUGACUUAGGCUUGUACCCACUGUGCACGUGCAGCGCUGCCUCAUGCCUAUGUAACACUGUGGCCCACCGUACACAGGCACACGCUUACAUACUUGCUGGCAGUGAGUCACUAUUGUCUGUGCUGUUACAGAAGGACGACCUUUUUGGCGGAUGUGAUCUCAGCACACCACUGGCUGUGGGGGGAAUAAAACUUAGUAUGA